GAGAGAGAGAGAGAGAGAGAGAGAGAGAGAGAACUAAACAGCAAAUGAAACUCAAAUCUAUUCUUGCUCUCGGUCCGUGUGAAGACCUUCUCUCCUCAGCCUCAGGACACUCUGUGAUAACUCGGAGCUUUCUUCAAAGCUUUUAUUUAUCAACGUACUUUGCAUAUACAUUAAAUGAUAAUCAACAUACAGAGAAAACACAAAAAUGACCCCAAACAGAUGAAAUACUAUUUAUAUGUUGGCCCCCAUACAUUUUCCAUUUCUUCCCAUUUCCACUCUUUGCUGGACCUUUCCCCCAACCAGAUACUUAUUGAAUAUUGAAUCUGCCACAUGGCAGAUAUGAUACAGAUUCAAAUAGACGAGGGAGAACAGCGUCACCGUCUCCUGGGCCAGAAUCCGUGGCCUCUGAGAUGAAGACCGGCUGCAUAUUUUAAAAGAUAUACCAUGUUCAGAAUUGUGUCCAACCCUACACCAUAAAACUGUUUUAAAAUCAGAAUAUGUGUCCGGAGAAUUGGCACAGCAGUUAAAAGUGUGUUUUGUUCUCACUGAGAACCCAAGUUUGGUUCCCAACACAAUGGCUCCCAGUUAUCUAUAAUUGUAAUCCCAAGAGAAGAGAAGACUGAGGAGACUGAGACUGUUCCAAAAAUCAAACUCUAACAGUUCUAAGAUGUGUUAGUGUCGGUGAAUGUGGGGCAGUAUUACACAGUGAAUAUGCACCACUACUACAGAUGUCAUCAAAUGCCAUUCCUCAAAAUUGUGGAUUGAUUUGAUUGUAAGUUAAGCCACAAAAGUGCAAAAUGGAGUCACAUUUUAAACUGAAAUGGAGGUAGGGAUGUGGCUCAGUGGGAGUGGGCUUGAAUGUUUUAUCUAGACCUCUGUUUUCUGACAUUUUAGACUAUAGGAAAUGUCAGUCUUUUGUGUAGACCCUUCUUUCUCGAUCAGUUAAUUUGCCCUUCAGCCUUUACUAGUCAAAGUUUAACGUUAAGUAGCACAUAUCCAGAAGUUGAGAUGUGUACAAACAGCUUUUCUAAGGUACCUCAUGAAAGUAUGGGGUAUGACUUUGGAGGUGGCAAACAAUGAAGUGAUGUACAACAGAGGUCUUUACAACUGGGUCUUUCAUAUUGGUAUGAAUUUUUAUAAAUAAAACCUAUGUUUUUUCCCCAAAUUGUAUCUGAAAGAACAGCCCUAAAGAUAUAAUGUAGACCCACCUAAUACUUUUUUUUAAUGGAAAUGAAAACUAUGUGACGUGUGAUACUUAAAUCUCUAGCUGUUUAGUAGCAGAGAGGUAAAGGUAGAAUCCAGGUCUCCUGGCCUCUCAUGGCAGACAUACCCUUGCCCUAGUUUAUGAAACAUAUCGUAGCAUGGAGUUGUCUUCAGCAAGGUGCAGUUGUCUGUACACAUCAGUCCCGGGAUUAAAACUUGCAAUGCACCUCUAGGAUCCAGGGAUAAGGUGCUAGACCUAAUGGAGUAUUUGAGGUUGGACCAUAAAAAUUGUCUAUACUUGGUUGACUCAUAAAAAUAAGUCUUAAAAUUCUUCCUAAUAGAAGCCAGUACAAACAUGAGUCCCGUCGGUUACCAUAAGCAUUAGGUAGCGUUUUCAGAGGGUCUUAGGGAGACAGCGAGCGCUGUGAUUCAGUACAUCCAUUGUAGAUUUAACCUUCUGCCAUCCUCCAGGGUUAGUGUUCUGGAAUUUGGGAAGUUGUAUUUUACAUGUACGUUUAUCAGAGUUCUCUAGUCUUGACAGACUUGAGGUGAUUUGCCAUUUCCCACACUUCAGAAAGCACAUUUAAUAUUGUGCUUCAAAAUGUAUGCAGCAGCUUUUCUUUGGAAAAAAAUUGAGCAAUUUAGUGAUUUUUGUAAAUGAUAAUACACAAUUAGGAAAGAUUACAAUAUUGAUUUUUAUAAGGAGCAAACCACAUCAGGUUUUUAUUUUUAGAUAAUUUGUACAAUUUGAUUAUACUUAUCUACACUUUUAAAUUAGGGAAGCAAUGUAGUCUCAAGAAUGAACUAACAAUUUUUUGUUUGCUUUUUAUUUACAUGAUGAGAGGACAAAUACUUGAAAUUCUGGUUCAGUUUGAAAGUAUUAUCUAGCUGUAUUUUUAGUGGUUUUAAUUUUUCUUUUUGAAUGACUUAAUUAACUGUAGGAUAUAGCUGUCCUAUGGUCUUAUAUAAGAUUUACAUGUAUUCACAUGAACCUAAUUUAUUAGGUCAGGUCAAAUAUUUUCUGGUUGUUACACAUGUCCAUAUAUGUGUAUGUACACACACACACACACACACACACACACACACACACACACACACACACACACACA
rnacentral:sRNA from 1 species